UCAGCAUGGAAAGACCAUGUCUAUAAUUUCGGGGGUCAAGAUCCACCCGUGACUGACUCCAAGACCUUAGGUCUCUGUGGAAGAGAGACUUGGCUUGGACUUGGCUGAACUGAUUGUUGAGGGUGGGAUGAGGGGAUCUCUGACAACUCAGGUAUAAUGGAAAGAACACAAUUCGGGGAACUGAAUGGCUCUGGAUUCAGAUCUCAGGCUGCCUUGGGAUCUUGGCUCUGGAGGCUGGAAGUCCAAGAUCAUGAUGUCAGCAGUGUUGGUAUCUGGUGAGACCUCUCUAAUUGGCUUGCAGAUGGCUGUCUUCUUACCGCAUCCUCAACACAGUCUUUCUCUGUGUGUGUGCCCUCCUGGUGUCUCUUCCUCUUCUUAUAAUGAUGCUAGAUCUAUUAGAUCAGGACUC